CCAGAUUAGAAUUAACUCACCAAAGGCAGUUCGAUCAUUAAAUCCUCGUAUCGCAUAAGCCAUUAUUAUUAAUAUCAACAUCAUCAUCAUCAUCAUCAUCAUCAUCAUUAUUAUUAUUAUUAUUUUCCUGGAUGAAGUCUACUAGUACUACUAUUAUUAUUAUUGAUAUUAUUAUGAGCAUUGUAUUAUGAGUAAUAUUGAUGAUAAUAAUAGGUUGGACUGGAUGUCCCUUGUGGGUCUCUUCCAACUAACUCUAGGGUGUUGUUGUUGUUGUUGUUGUUGUUCUCGUCCCCUCUUACAGGCCGUGAGCCCCCCGCCCAGCUCCAACGGCGAGGGUCCGGAGGGGAGGCCGGGGGUCGGGCCGGAUCUUGGGGCGGACACAAGGGGUUGGUGGCGCGCCCCUCUCCACAUCUGCUGCCGGGGCCCCUGAAGAACGUGGUGCCGCUCCACCUGCUGAGCACCACCACCAGACCCAGACGCAGGCCGCCGGCCAGGCCAGACCCCCACCAAGAUGGCCGCCCCCACCCCUCCGGUGAGCCCAGACCCCCCCUCCUUCCGGGGUCACCUCGGGAGGCCUGCUUCCUUGGCCGCCUCGUGGAGGAGAGUGCACACUCGACUGACGGGCGCUGUGUUGUGUCUCCCGUGUGCCCUUGCAGCCACAACCUCGUGCAGACGUGCUGGCAGGACAACCCCACGGUGCGCCCCUCCCUCCCUCCCCGAGGACCUCCACCCCACUUCCUGUGAGGCCUCCUUCCUGGACAGCGAGGAGGAGAACAAGCCGCCGGAGACGGAGGAGGACGAGCUGGACUCUGGGAACACGGAGAGCCUCCUCCCGCUGGACCAGGCCUCCGACACGCAGCGGGACGAGACCCUGGGCCUGGAAGAGACGGAACUCUGGGGAGACCCUCCCGGGCGCCCUGGCACGUGGACGGGCAGAAGGACAAUGGGCGCCUCUCCCUUCGGGCUGAGGGUCUGGCUUUGGCCUCCAUUGUCGCCGUCCUUCCCGUCAGAACCGGCUUCUUGGCCUCAGACUUCGGUGGAGGUGGAUGCGUGUCCGUGGGGAAGGGGAGAGCGCCGCCUCUCGACUCGCCUCCCUCGGUGGGCCUGGAAGAGAGGGAACUCUGGGGAGCAGACCCCUGGCGCCCUGGCACGUGGACGGACAGACGGGGCAGGAAGCACAACGGGCGCCCCCUCCUCUCCGUGCCCCCUCCAGCCCCCCCUCACCCCCCACCGCCCCCCUCCUCUCCAUGCCCCGCCCCAGCCCCCCCUCGUCGUCCGUCCAUCCGUCCAUCCACAGGGACCUGGCGGAGGAAGCGCAUGGCGGCAGAAGACGUCAUCGUCCCCAUCGGAGGCCCUUGGGAAGAGCCCCAUAUUCGGUUUUCCUCGCUCAGACUCCGGCAUGACGAGGGACGUCUGUGGGACGGACUCCGAGCGCAAGGGAGGGAAAGGCCUGUUGCCGGUCCGGUGGGAGAAAGAGAGAGAGAGACAGAGAGAGGGAGAGAGAGAGAGGGCUCUUCACGGCCCCCUCGGACCUCUGCCACAACCUGGUGCAGACGUGCUGGCAGGACAACCCCACGGUGCGCCCCUCCCUCCCUCCCCGAGGACCUCCACCCCACUUCCCGCGAGGCCUCCUUCCUGGACAGCGAGGAGGAGAACAAGCUGCCGGAGACGGAGGAGGACGAGCUGGACUCUGGGAACACGGAGAGCCUCCUCCCGCUGGACCCGGCCUCCAACACGCAGCGGGACGAGACCCUGGGCCUGGAAGAGACGGAACUCUGGGGAGACCCUCCCGGGCGCCCUGGCACGUGGACGGACGGACAGACGGGGCAGGAAGCACAACGGGCGCCCCCUCCUCUCCGUGCCCCGCUCCAGCCCCCCUCACCCCCCCCCCCUUCUCGACGUCCGUCUCAGGACUCACAGGAUUGCGGACACAGAGUGUGUGAGGAGACAGAGUGGACUCGCUUUCUCGUCAGAUUUUUGAAGUGGGGGCAAAGGGGGGCUGGAUGUCCUCGCGUGUUCCUGCCGCCGCGUGUUGUCGUCCCCUCGGUGCAAAAAGGGGCCGAAUGUCGUCUGCCUGCGACACACACUGGGAACCCUUGAGCGGAAAGUCGGGGGUUAUGGGCCCAGGAACGAGGGGGAAACGCCUCUCGAAGGCCCCGACCCCUUCGUGCCCUGGUUGUUGUUUCCGGGACGGAGGGGGCGGCAGAGGGGGAGGGACAGGCACCGCUGGAGGGAUUUCCGUUCAUUGCGUUUUCUUGUCGUUGCUUCGAUGUCACGAGCCAAGCCGUGACGUGUUCAGAGAGUCUCUACUGCUCUUUAUACAGACAUAUCUAUGUAUAUAUAUAUAUAUAUAAAUUUUUAAAAUUGCUGUGUGUAAAUAUUGGACUAUUAACUGUUUAUAUUAGGGAAGAAAAUUCUGAAUAAAUUAAUUAAUUAAUAUUCUCAGAUUUGAACACCCAUC
rnacentral:lncRNA from 11 species